CCUACGGGUGGCAGCAGUGGGGAAUAUUGGACAAUGGGCGAAAGCCUGAUCCAGCCAUGCCGCGUGUGUGAAGAAGGCCUUCGGGUUGUAAAGCACUUUCAGUGGGGAAGAAAGCCUUGGGGCUAAUACCCUCGAGGAAGGACAUCACCCACAGAAGAAGCACCGGCUAACUCCGUGCCAGCAGCCGCGGUAAUACGGAGGGUGCGAGCGUUAAUCGGAAUUACUGGGCGUAAAGCGCGCGUAGGCGGUCUGAUAAGCCGGUUGUGAAAGCCCCGGGCUCAACCUGGGAACGGCAUCCGGAACUGUCAGGCUAGAGUGCAGGAGAGGAAGGUAGAAUUCCCGGUGGAGCGGGGAAAUGCGUAGAGAUCGGGAGGAAUACCAGUGGCGAAGGCGGCCUUCUGGACUGACACUGACGCUGAGGUGCGAAAGCGUGGGUAGCAAACAGGAUUAGAUACCCUUGUAGUC
rnacentral:rRNA from 1 species